ACUCCUACGGGAGGCAGCAGUGAGGAAUAUUGCGCAAUGGAGGCAACUCUGACGCAGCAACGCCGCGUGAGCGAUGAAGGCCUUCGGGUUGUAAAGCUCUGUUUUAAGGGACGAAUGUUCAUGUGAGUAACUGCGCAUGAAAUGACGGUACCUUAAGAGGAAGCCCCGGCUAACUACGUGCCAGCAGCCGCGGUAAU
rnacentral:rRNA from 1 species